AAAGCUCAAAUUUGGAAUCUGGCACUUUCAGUGUCCGAGUUGUAAUUUGAAGACCGGUGCUUUGGGAGCAGGAGGUGUCGAAGUUCCUUGGAACAGGACGUCGCAGAGGGUGAGAAUCCCGUGCGAUACCUCUUCUUGCUUCUUUGUAAAGCCUGGUCGAAGAGUCGAGUUGUUUGGGAAUGCAGCUCUAAGUGGGUGGUAAAUUCCAUCUAAAGCUAAAUACUGGCGAGAGACCGAUAGCGAACAAGUACAGUGAUGGAAAGAUGAAAAGAACUUUGAAAAGAGAGUGAAAAAGUACGUGAAAUUGUUGAAAGGGAAGGGCUUGAGAUCAGACUUGGUUACCUCGGUGACCAGGCCAGCAUCAGGUGGCGGGGUGACAUAACGCGGAAGGAAUGUGGCUUUGCUUCGGUGAAGUGUUAUAGCCUUCUGAAAUAUCACCACCAUCGCCUGAGGACUGCGCUCGGCAAGGAUGUUGGCAUAAUGAUCUUAAGCCGCCCGUCUUGAAACACGGACCAAGGAGUCUAACGUCUAUGCAAG
rnacentral:rRNA from 1 species